AGAGUUUGAUCCUGGCUCAGGACGAACGCUGGCGGCGUGCUUCAUACAUGCAAGUCGAACGAGAAGUUACCUUCGGGUAAUGGACAGUGGCGGACGGGUGAGUAAUGUGUAGAGAAUCUGCCCUUGAGCGGGGGACAACAGCUGGAAACGGUUGCUAAUACCCCAUAUGAUGCCGGUUGUGAUACCGGUAUUGAAAACUCCGGUGCUCAAGGAUGAGUCUGCAUCUGAUUAGCUAGUUGGGGGUGUAAUGGACCACCAAGGCGACGAUCAGUAGCUGGUUUGAGAGGAUGAUCAGCCACAAUGGGACUGAGACACGGCCCAUACUCCUACGGGAGGCAGCAGUAGGGAAUUUUGCGCAAUGGGGGCAACCCUGACGCAGCAACGCCGCGUGAUUGAUUAAGCCCUUCGGGGUGUAAAGAUCUGUCAGUGGGGACGAAAUAUGACGGUACCCACAGAGGAAGCACCGGCUAACUCCGUGCCAGCAGCCGCGGUAAUACGGAGGGUGCAAGCGUUGUCCGGAAUCAUUGGGCGUAAAGAGUUCGUAGGUGGCAUGUAAAGUCUGGUGUUAAAGGCAGAAGCUCAACUUCUGUAGGGCACUGGAUACUUGCAAGCUGGAAUGCGGUAGAGGUAAAGGGAAUUCCUGGUGUAGCGGUGAAAUGCGUAGAUAUCAGGAGGAACAUCGGUGGCGUAAGCGCUUUACUGGGCCGUAAUUGACACUGAGGAACGAAAGCCGGGGUAGCAAAUGGGAUUAGAUACCCCAGUAGUCCCGGCCGUAAACGAUGGAUACUAGGUGUUGCGGGUAUCGACCCCUGCAGUGCCGCAGCUAACGCGUUAAGUAUC
rnacentral:rRNA from 1 species